rnacentral:tRNA from 11 species
AAAAAUCCAUACCGCAAUGUUUUUACUUUUCGGGAUUUAGUGGAUCAGCUGUUGAUUUAUGUAAAAUACUGGCCUGCUAAGUCCCAAAAAGUGAAAAUUCACAAAUUUUACAGCAGCA